CCAAGUUCUAUAUUAUUCUCUAUUCUUUUAUGUGAAUUAUUAUAGUUUAUUUCUUUAGAAAAACCUAAUUCUAAAUUGUUUUAUAUUAUUAUGAAAGCUCUAAGCAAAGAGGCCUCAUUGUAGUGCAAAGAUAACUAUCAACUCCAAAAAUAACUCAUUUCAAUGUUGUUGCUAAUAAAGUUCAAAAUAUCCUAUAGGAAUCUACAAAUAUGGUAGUUGAGAAAUCCAGCCAUGCUGUAGAAAAAAGAAAUAAAAAUUCAUUCUCCCCUACUUAGAUGGCAUAAAGAAACACAAAACUAAUUUUUAAACAAAGGAAAACUUCUGAGUAUGAUGGAGGAAAUAUAAAGGCUCAGCGUUUUCCUAAUGAUGUCUUAACCAGUUUUGAAGCUUAUUUAUACCCUUGGCAAUCAGUUUUAAACUAAAAUAGAGUAUGUUAUUACUAGAUGUUAAUUUUUUUAUAUUUAAAAGACUGCAGAUCUCUCCAAGGCCCAGAGCUCAUUAUAUUGACUGUUAGCCCUUAUAUUUAUAUGCUUUUUGUAUUUUUAAAACCUAUACUUCAUGUUAUUUCUUAAAAUAAUGCUUAUAUACACAGUCUGCCAAAGUGUGCUUUGGACUUGGUGUCUUCACUGAGACAGAGACCCCGUACUCUGUAAAGUAAGUUUGCUGCUCUAGAAGCGUACUGGGUGCUCCCAGACUACAGACCCAUCUGCCAGUCACUUGUCUUCUGCUUCCAAGAUACCUCAGUAGUCAUUUCAUGAUUGGAUCAGAAUAGGACACAGAAUAAAUGAAACAUAACAAACACUGUUACCACUUUUGGAAUGAUAGAUGAUACUUG